UACGUAGGCAGCAAGCGUUGUUCGGAAUUACUGGGCGUAAAGAGUGUGUAGGCGGUGUUCUAAGUUUGUCGUGAAAUCUCCCGGCUUAACUGGGAGGGUGCGGCGAAAACUGGAAUGCUAGAGGAUGGGAGAGGUAAGCGGAAUUCCUGGUGUAGCGGUGAAAUGCGUAGAUAUCAGGAGGAACACCGGUGGCGAAGGCGGGGUCUCUGGGCCGAUACUGACGCUGAGGAGCGAAAGCAUGGGUAG
rnacentral:rRNA from 1 species